rnacentral:rRNA from 1 species
GAUGAACGCUGGCGGCGUGCCUAAUACAUGCAAGUCGAGCGAACAGAUGAGGAGCUUGCUCCUCUGACGUUAGCGGCGGACGGGUGAGUAACACGUGGAUAACCUACCUAUAAGACUGGGAUAACUUCGGGAAACCGGAGCUAAUACCGGAUAAUAUAUUGAACCGCAUGGUUCAAUAGUGAAAGACGGUUUUGCUGUCACUUAUAGAUGGAUCCGCGCCGCAUUAGCUAGUUGGUAAGGUAACGGCUUACCAAGGCAACGAUGCGUAGCCGACCUGAGAGGGUGAUCGGCCACACUAGAACUGAGACACGGUCCAGACUCCUACGGGAGGCAGCAGUAGCGAAUCUUCCGCAAUGGGCGAAAGCCUGACGGAGCAACGCCGCGUGAGUGAUGAAGGUCUUCUGAUCGUAAAACUCUGUUAUUAGGGAAGAACAAAUGUGUAAGUAACUAUGCACGUCUUGACGGUACCUAAUCAGAAAGCCACGGCUAACUACGUG